UUGAGUCCAUUACUCCAUUGUUUUCAAACGGAAAACAAGGUUCUCACGUUGAAUCUGCUUUUGGACCAGGUGAAGUAGGCCCUCCUGAAAAGAAAUUUUCCCCAUCAGGUAAUUAGUUUCUCUUUUAACAUGAGAGAACAAAUAUUGUUGAUUACAUUGUGCAGAAAAAAAAAUACUGCCACUGCUGACAUUCUUUCUCUGUUUUAGAUCAAGAAUUACCUCAUUCUGCAGAACAGCCUACCUCCGGUGAACCAAGGAAAGAACAAACUGUUGUUCCCACUGCUGAACAAAUCAAGCAACAGCCAACUGUCAUUGGUCAAAAAGACACAGUAGACACAAGAGAGGCUCUGAUAUCAGAAGAUGUGCUUGAUACUACACCUACCCAUGGUGACGUUCACCCUACUGGUAGCAUUGAACCAGACAGCAGACCUUUAUCAAUUAAAGGGGAAGAAACUCAAGAACCACCACCUCGUGUGGCUAAAGACUCCCUAGACACUGAAGAUAUAUCUACUGAUGCCUUAGGAAAUGUUCAGUCCUUGAAACCAUCAACAACUCCAGGUGCUCUUCGCAUCACAACUGGCGGUACACCUGGUGAUGUAGUGAUGGCUGAACAGACAUCUUCCACAUCAGGUAACUAUGGUCAUAUGGUGCACUAUCUACAGGCCUAGACCUACAAAACUUACUAUUAAUAUCAAUUAUUCAGGUCAAGAUUCUGCUGAUCCUGUAGAACCAGCCUUCCCUCUUGGUCCAGGGAACAAGGAGAUUAGAGAUUCAACUCCUUCAGGACUAAUAAUUUCCUCUACCAACCCAGAUAAAAGAGAUGCUAUUGUUGCUGCACCUGAUCAAGCCAAGGACUUGCAAACAAUUCCCAGUGGACAGGACAUAUUGUCCACCCAACGUCCUUCAGGGAAGGUUCAGGAAACUGUACCUGGUGAUGACUCGAGCAAAGAUAAGCCUUUCAGACCAUCCUCUGCUGUUCGAGAAGGCGAACCCUCCAAACUGGUCCCAGCAUCAGUUCCAGG
rnacentral:lncRNA from 1 species